AUUUCUAAACACUUUCAAAAAAUAAAAAUAAAUAAUAACAAAUAAAAAAUAAAACUUGCUGUUAUCCACUCUAAGAGCCAAAGAAAAGAUCACAGAGAGGUUAUGGAAAUCAGAUCACUAGAUACCAGCAGACCACUGACGAAUUGGGAUAAGAGUACUAAGGAAAUUUUAAUAAA